CUUGAAUCUACAGGUGUGGCUGGUCUGGUCUGGGGUAGGAUGCGUGCUGACUUUCUGCUUUCACAGGGAGAGGGUCAGUAGUGAUGCGUGAACUUACCUCUUGGGGGCCCCUCAGAACAGCCUCCACCCCCAGGUGAGGCUGUAAACUUGGGAAAGACAAAGCGCAGGCCACCAUCUGUUUCCCAUCUCCAGCCCCCGAGUCUCUGCAGGCUCUUGAUGCAGGCUGUGUAUGGACCCAGGGACCUGGCUGCAGCCAGCAGGCAGCAGUUG
rnacentral:lncRNA from 1 species